GUACCAGACUCCUACGGGAGGCAGCAGUGGGGAAUAUUGCACAAUGGGGGGAACCCUGAUGCAGCGACGCCGCGUGGGUGAAGGAGCACCUCGGUGCGUAAAGCCCUAUCGGCAGGGAAGAAGAUGACGGUACCUGACCAAGAAGCCCCGGCUAACUACGUGCCAGCAGCCGCGGUAAUACGUAGGGGGCAAGCGUUAUCCGGAUUUACUGGGUGUAAAGGGGGCGCAGACGGCAGCGCAAGCCAGGAGUGGAAGCCCGGGGCCCAACCCCGGGACUGCUCUUGGAACUGCGCGGCUGGAGUGCAGGAGGGGCAGGCGGAAUUCCUGGUGUAGCGGUGAAAUGCGUAGAUAUCAGGAGGAACACCGGUGGCGAAGGCGGUCAACUGGACAGCAACUGACGCUGAGGCGCGAAAGCGUGGGGAGCAAACAGGAUUAGAUACCCUCGUAGAA
rnacentral:rRNA from 1 species